rnacentral:lncRNA from 1 species
AACUUCUCUUACAAGAACAAUAACUCUGCUUUUCCCCAAAAUUCUAUUCCUCAAAGACUAGCAGGUUUCCAAGCCCAAAGACUAACACAACCUAUACAAACUACCCCUCAAAAGUCAAACCUUGAGAAAAUCAUGGAAGAUUUUAUCACGACUCAAACUCGAUAGAAUAAAGAGUUCAUGAACCAAAACGUCCAUAUUAAUGAGUUGAUUUCACAAUUAGGAAACAAGGUUGACUUUGUGGUAACCCACAACAAGAU